CCUACGGGAGGCAGCAGUAAGGAAUAUUGGACAAUGCUCGCAAGAGUGAUCCAGCCAUGCCGCGUGCAGGAAGAAUGCCCUAUGGGUAGUAAACUGCUUUUGAACUAGAGAAAAUCCCAGUACGUGUACUGGGCUGAUAGUAUAGUUAGAAUAAGCAUCGGCUAACUUCGUGCCAGCAGCCGCGGUAAGACGAAGGAUGCAAGCGUUAUCCGGAUUCAUUGGGUUUAAAGGGAGCGUAGGUGGACUGAUAAGUCAGUGGUGAAAUCUCCGAGCUUAACUCGGAAAUUGCCAUUGAUACUGUUGGUCUUGAGUACAGUUGCUGUGGGCGGAAUAUGACAUGUAGUGGUGAAAUACAUAGAGAUGUCAUAGAACACCGAUUGCGAAGGCAGCUCACAAAGCUGUAACUGACACUGAGGCUCGAAAGUGCGGGGAUCAAACAGGAUUAGAUACCCUGGUAGUCCGCACCGUAAACGAUGAUUACUCGCUGCUAGGGGGCAACCUUUAGUGGCUUAGCGAAGCGAUAAGUAAUCCACCUGGGGAGUACGCCGGCAACGGUGAAACGUUAAAGGAAUUGACGGCGNGAGAGNGCGAGGCGACGACGAGGGAGGAGG
rnacentral:rRNA from 1 species